ACCCUGAGGAAAAGAAAUCAACCGAGAUUCCCUUAGUAGUGGCGAGCGAACGGGGAUUAGCCCUUAAGCUUCAUUGAUUUUAGCGGAACGCUCUGGAAAGUGCGGCCAUAGUGGGUGAUAGCCCCGUACGCGAAAGGAUCUUUGAAGUGAAAUCGAGUAGGACGGAGCACGAGAAACUUUGUCUGAACAUGGGGGGACCAUCCUCCAAGGCUAAAUACUACUGACUGACCGAUAGUGAACCAGUACCGUGAGGGAAAGGCGAAAAGAACCCCGGAGAGGGGAGUGAAAUAGAACCUGAAACCGUAUGCGUACAAGCAGUGGGAGCCUACUUGUUAGGUGACUGCGUACCUUUUGUAUAAUGGGUCAGCGACUUAUAUUCAGUGGCAAGCUUAACCGUAUAGGGUAGGCGUAGCGAAAGCGAGUCUUAAUAGGGCGUUUAGUCGCUGGGUAUAGACCCGAAACCGGGCGAUCUAUCCA
rnacentral:rRNA from 1 species